rnacentral:lncRNA from 1 species
UAGGUACGAGAAUCAAUCUGAAGCUGCCUUUGAGUAAACUAUGAUGCAAGAGGCUUUCAACCAAGAACCAGAAUUGGGUUGACUACCCACAAAGGUCAGAACUAUUCUUUAGAACUUCAUAAAAAGCUAAAUUCAAUCUACAAAUAAAUAUGAAGAGAGGUUAGUAAGUAAAACUAAGUCAUGACUAAAAUAUUGAGGGGGGGGGGGGAUGAUUGUUUUUAUUCCAAAGAUGAAUACCCCCGUAUAAUAAGAAAUAGCAUUGUGCAAGCAUCGACAGCAAUAAAAAUAGUAGUAGCCUCUCAAUCCCUCGCUAUCUCUCUACAGCUCUUUACUACUCUCUUUUAUUCCUCUCCCAAGACCACACACGACAACAACAACACGCUCAAUCUCUCUUCUUCCCCCCAAAAUCAGCAGCUAAUCUUUCUUCUUCCUCUCAAAUCGAACAUCAAUGCCCAAGCACCGCCAACCACCNNNNNNNNNNACAAUAAAAAAUAGUAGUAGCCUCUCAAUCCCUCGCUAUCUCUCUACAGCUCUUUACUACUCUCUUUUAUUCCUCUCCCAAGACCACCCACGACAACAACAACACGCUCAAUCUCUCUUCUUCCCCCCAAAAUCAGCAGCUAAUCUUUCUUCUUCCUCUAAAAUCGAACAUCAAUGCCCAAGCACCGCCAACCACCACACCGAUCACUCGAUCAUGCAUUCUGUCGUCCAGACGCACUGCACGCAUGCACCACUGCCCCGCCUCUCUCCAACGCCUCACCCCCGCCCCACUGCGAUCAAGGCGGACAAAAAGAGUAUGCUGUCCUUUAUUAACUUUAUUAAUUGUCACAUGGUUCAUCAAAGAAAUUACCUAGACCAACAUUCAUCAACAAGAAAACACCACGUAUGGCACAAGCUGAUGUGUUAGCUUCCUGGGGUAAUGCUGGAAGGUCUUCACAACCUGGAUAAGUAAAGUUUGAAAGGUUAUAACCUCGACUAACAGAAAAAAAUGAAUUUUAAUGCACACACAUGUAGAUACAUCUCUAUUACUACUUGCUCACAAGUCCUUGACAAUGGAAAACUUUGACAUCCUCCUUCGUGAUCUUAAACACUUGUAGGUAAUUUCCUCCUUCAUGCUUUUGAACUCUUAAAUAGUGCACUGCAGCUCCCGCAUCCAUGAGGCAUCGUGCCCAGUUAGUGCAAUGCAACUCCCACAUCGAUGAGGCGGCGUGCUCCAUCUCCUGGAGAUAGACAAGCCACCGGUGCAGCCGCUGAAUCCUCUCAUCCCCACUUUAGGAUAGCACUGCCCCACUGUAGGAUUGUUCUGUGGCAACGCAUGGGCAACCAUGCACCUAUUGCUGACUGGGAUGGUGUGCAUAAAACUACAGGCUGAACUUUGGAUUGCCUAGAUAAGCACUUGCACGUAGCAUGCCUAUAUAACUAUUUCCAUAGAUCAAGGUAAUUCAAAUGCAAUAAACUGGUCCAAUGUGGGUGACAUGUACACUUAGUAUUAACAAUCAGAAUGGGCAGAAAUGACUGACUGAAAGUAGGAAUGUCCGGUGUGC